GUCUGUGCCAGUUCCUCUGCUCAAGCACCCCCGCUGGCUUCUCCAGCUUAUGUGGAGGAGACGGCUCCACUGACAUGGAGCCGCCUCCCCAGGGUUACCCAGGGAGCAACGGGGGACGUGAGACCGAAGCCCAUGCCCCUGGCACACAUGGCUCCUGGCACACAUGAGCUCCCGGAGGCCAGAUGGCGCCCACACCUUUGGGUCACAGCAACCCGGAGUGGGAGGAUGGGGUGGGGCAGCACUGGCCUGGCCAUGCCCCCUGGCAGCCACCUUGCCCUCACACGCCCCCUCAGCAGCCUGCCUUGGAAUCAGGUCCCCAAGUGGCUACCCUAGUUUACACUCACGCCAGCAGUGCGUUGGCCAAAGGUACCGAGCUCUGUGAUGCAUAUGAAUAAGUCCUAGAGAGAUAGCAUGCGGAGUGGUGACCCAGUUAUAACACAGCGCCGUGUACUGGAAAUUUCCUGGGAGACUAGAUCUCGGCUGUGUCGCCACACACAGAAGCCCGCCAGGCUCCUCUGUCCGUGGGACUCUCCAGGCAAGAACACUGGACAGCAAGUGAAGAGAAAGUGAAAGUCACUCAGGCGUGUCUGACUCUCUGCAGCCCGCCAGGCUCCUCUGUCCGUGGGACUCUCCAGGCAAGAACACUGGACAGCAAGUGAAGAGAAAGUGAAAGUCACUCAGGCAUGUCUGACUCUUUGCGAUCCUGUGGACCGUAGAGUCCAUGGGAUUUUCCAGGCCAGUAUACUGGAGUGGGUAGCCUUUCCCUUCUCCAGGGGAUCUUCCUGACCCAGGGAUCAAACCCAGGUCUCCUGCAUUGCAAGUGGAUUUUUUACCAGCUAAGUCACAAGGGAAACCCAAGAAUACUGGAAUGGGUAGCCUAUCCCUUCUGCAGCAGAUCUUCCCAACCCAGGAAUUGAACCAGGGUCUCCUGCGUUGCACGCAAUUUCUUUACCAACUGAGCUACCAGGGAAGCUCAAGAGUGGGUUGCCAUUUCCUUCUCCAGGGGACCUUCUCAACCCAGGGAUGGAACCCAUGUCUCCUGCUCUCCUGCAUUGGCAGGCGGGUUCUUUAUCACAGAGCCACCUGGGAAGCCGCACCAUACAUACAAUUUUAAACAGCAGACCAAAUUUGCCUGCAGGGCACCCUGCCACAGGACCACCAGGAGCCAGCCAGGCCUGGCAGCGGUCAGGGCCGGAGGCCCCAGGGGCACACAGACUCAGGGACACUCUCUCC
ensembl:lncRNA